AAACAAUAUUCUUAAAUCACAAGUUUAGUGCAAUCAACUACAAUGACAAGCAUUUGUCAAGGAAAGGAUUCAUGGCCGGAGCUCGUGGGGGUUUCUGCGAGAGAAGCUGUGAAGGUGAUCGAGGAAGAAAACUCGUUGGUCACUGCCAUCAUUGUGUUUCCAGGGCAACCCAUCAUCGGGAAUUUCAGUUGCGCCCGUGUGUGGGUAUUCGUUAACAUCUUUGGCAAGGUCAAUAGGGUUCCCGUGAUCGGCUAAGAUCUGCAUGUGUGUGUGUGUGAGCGUGCGCGUGUUUUUUAUGUGUGUUUUUGUUCGGACCCACGUCAGUCUAUUGAUUAUGGAGUACUCUUUCUAUUUCCCUUCAAUGUGUACGAAUAAAUGUGACAAUUGCACGUUCACUGAAUAAAUGUUGCUACAUAUGUUUGUUAUA